rnacentral:rRNA from 1 species
ACGGCUCAGUAACACGUGAUCAACUUACCCUAUAGAGGAAAAUAACCUCGGGAAACUGAGGAUAAUGUUCCAUAGUUGAAUCGGCUUGGAAAAGUUUUUCAAUAAAAGGGAUAAGGAAAAUGGUUCUUAUCUGCUAUAGGAUAGGAUCGUGCUCGAUUAUGGUUGUUGGUGAGGUAAAGGCUCACCAAGCCGAUAAUCGAUAGGGGCCGUGAGAGCGGGAGCCCCGAGAUGGGUACUGAGACAACGACCCAGGCCUUACGAGGCGCAGCAGGCGCGAAACCUCCGCAAUACACGAAAGUGUGACGGGGUUACCCAAAGUGUUCUAUUUAGAACUGUGGUAGGUGAGUAAUGUCCCCUACUAGAAAGGAGAGGGCAAGGCUGGUGCCAGCCGCCGCGGUAAAACCAGCUCUUCAAGUGGUCGGGAUAAUUAUUGGGCUUAAAGUGUCCGUAGCCGGUUUAGUAAGUUCCUGGUAAAAUCGGGUAGCUUAACUAUCUAUAUGCUAGGAAUACUGCUAUACUAGAGGGCGGGAGAGGUCUGAGGUACUACAGGGGUAGGGGUGAAAUCUUAUAAUCCUUGUAGGACCACCAGUGGCGAAGGCGUCAGACUGGAACGCGCCUGACGGUGAGGGACGAAAGCCAGGGGAGCGAACCGGAUUAGAUACCCGGGUAGUCCUGGCCGUAAACGAUGCAUACUAGGUGAUGGCACGGCCAUGAGCCGUGUCAGUGCCGUANGGAAACCGUUAAGUGUGNCGCCUGGGAAGUACGGUCGCAAGGCUAAAACUUAAAGGAAUUGGCGGGGGAGCACCACAAGGGGUGAAGCCUGCGGUUCAAUUGGACUCAACGCCGG